GCGUAGGCGGGACAUUAAGUCAGUGGUGAAAUCUUGCCGCUUAACGGUAAAAUUGCCAUUGAAACUGAUGUUCUUGAGUAUAGUUGAGGUAGGCGGAAUGUGUAGUGUAGCGGUGAAAUGCUUAGAUAUUACACAGAACACCGAUUGCGAAGGCAGCUUACUAAACUAUUACUGACGCUGAUGCACGAAAGCGUGGGGAGCGAACAGGAUUAGAUACCCUGGUAGUCCACGCUGUAAACGAUGAUCACUCGUUGUUCGCAAUACAUCGUGAGCGACUGAGCGAAAGCAUUAAGUGAUCCACCUGGGGAGUACGUCGGCAACGAUGAAACUCAAAGGAAUUGACGGGGGCCCGCACAAGCGGAGGAACAUGUGGUUUAAUUCGAUGAUACGCGAGGAACCUUACCUGGGCUUAAAUGCAGAACGAUGUACCGGGAAACUGGUAUUCCUUUCGAGGCGGACUGCAAGGUGCUGCAUGGUUGUCGUCAGCUCGUGCCGU
rnacentral:rRNA from 1 species